rnacentral:rRNA from 1 species
GCAGUCGACGGCAGCGCGGGAGCAAUCCUGGCGGCGAGUGGCGAACGGGUGAGUAAUACAUCGGAACGUGCCCAAUCGUGGGGGAUAACGCAGCGAAAGCUGUGCUAAUACCGCAUACGAUCUACGGAUGAAAGCAGGGGAUCGCAAGACCUUGCGCGAAUGGAGCGGCCGAUGGCAGAUUAGGUAGUUGGUGAGGUAAAGGCUCACCAAGCCUUCGAUCUGUAGCUGGUCUGAGAGGACGACCAGCCACACUGGGACUGAGACACGGCCCAGACUCCUACGGGAGGCAGCAGUGGGGAAUUUUGGACAAUGGGCGCAAGCCUGAUCCAGCCAUGCCGCGUGCAGGAUGAAGGCCUUCGGGUUGUAAACUGCUUUUGUACGGAACGAAACGGCCUUUUCUAAUAAAGAAGGCUAAUGACGGUACCGUAAGAAUAAGCACCGGCUAACUACGUGCCAGCAGCCGCGGUAAUACGUAGGGUGCAAGCGUUAAUCGGAAUUACUGGGCGUAAAGCGUGCGCAGGCGGUAAUGUAAGACAGUUGUGAAAUCCCCGGGCUCAACCUGGGAACUGCAUCUGUGACUGCAUUGCUGGAGUACGGCAGAGGGGGAUGGAAUUCCGCGUGUAGCAGUGAAAUGCGUAGAUAUGCGGAGG